AAAUCAGAUAGAGGUUGCGAUUAACAUCAGUCCCACCGGUUAGUGUCCACAACACGUUGACCCGGUGCAAAAGGGAAGAUCGCCGAAACAAUCUUGCGCGUGGACGCCGGGUUGUUGGGACAAGGUCGAAUAGAUCUUGCACUGUCGCCAAUUCAGUUGGCGGGGCGCUAUCAAACAU
rfam:Lactobacillus saniviri JCM 17471 = DSM 24301 NODE_47, whole genome shotgun sequence.